AUUGAACGCUGGCGGCAGGCUUAACACAUGCAAGUCGAACGAUGAUGCCCAGCUUGCUGGGUGGAUUAGUGGCGAACGGGUGAGUAACACGUGAGUAACCUGCCCCUGACUCUGGGAUAAGCGUUGGAAACGACGUCUAAUACUGGAUAUGACUGCCGGCCGCAUGGUCUGGUGGUGGAAAGAUUUUUUGGUUGGGGAUGGACUCGCGGCCUAUCAGCUUGUUGGUGAGGUAAUGGCUCACCAAGGCGACGACGGGUAGCCGGCCUGAGAGGGUGACCGGCCACACUGGGACUGAGACACGGCCCAGACUCCUACGGGAGGCAGCAGAGGGGAAUAUUGCACGAUGGGCGAAAGCCUGAUGCAGCAACGCCGCGUGAGGGAUGACGGCCUUCGGGUUGUAAACCUCUUUUAGUAGGGAAGAAGCGUAAGUGACGGUACCUGCAGAAAAAGCACCGGCUAACUACGUGCCAGCCGCCGCCGUAA
rnacentral:rRNA from 1 species